GACAGAGGGGGCAAGCGUUGCUCGGAAUCACUGGGCGUAAAGGGCGCGUAGGCGGGACGGCAAGUCGGUCGUGAAAUCCUUCGGCUCAACCGAAGAACGUCGGCCGAUACUGCCGUUCUUGAGGGAUGCAGAGGAGAUUGGAAUUCCCGGUGUAGCGGUGAAAUGUGUAGAGAUCGGGAGGAACACCCGUGGCGAAGGCGGGUCUCUGGGACGGUACUGACGCUGAGACGCGAAAGCGUGGGGAGCGAACAGG
rnacentral:rRNA from 1 species